CUUCGACGAGUCGAGUUGUUUGGGAAUGCAGCUCUAAAUGGGAGGUAAAUUUCUUCUAAAGCUAAAUACUGGCCAGAGACCGAUAGCGCACAAGUAGAGUGAUCGAAAGAUGAAAAGCACUUUGGAAAGAGAGUUAAAAAGCACGUGAAAUUGUUGAAAGGGAAGCGCUUGCAGCCAGACUUGCCUGUAGUUGCUCAUCCAGGUUUCUACCUGGUGCACUCUUCUAUAGGCAGGCCAGCAUCAGUUUGGGCGGUUGGAUAAAGGUCUCUGUCAUGUACCUCUCUUCGGGGAGAACUUAUAGGGGAGACGACAUGCAACCAGCCUGGACUGAGGUCCGCGCAUCUGCUAGGAUGCUGGCGUAAUGGCUGUAAGCGGCCCGUCUUGAAACACGGACCAAGGAGUCUAACAUCUAUGCGAGUGUUUGGGUGUCAAGCCCGAGCGCGUAAUGAAAGUGAACGGAGGUGGGAACCUUUCGGGGUGCACCAUCGACCGAUCCUGAUGUCUUCGGAUGGAUUUGAGUAAGAGCAUAGCUGUUGGGACCCGAAAGAUGGUGAACUAUGCUUGAAUAGGGUGAAGCCAGAGGAAACUCUGGUGGAGGCUCGCAGCGGUUCUGACGUGCAAAUCGAUCGUCAAUUUGGGCAUAGGGGCGAAAGACUAAUCGAACUAUCUAGUAGCUGGUUCCUGCCGA
rnacentral:rRNA from 1 species